rnacentral:lncRNA from 1 species
AUCUGAUGAAAUCGCCAAUGAUCCCUGCCGGUUUGCUGCUGAUCCACCAGGGCAACUCCAGCUCUCAUGUCCGCGUCUCCAGGAGACUCAGCUUGUCAGCUUCUACGAAACACCCUAUUGGAGUCUCGGUUGGGGUGGCGUUGCAUCUGCUGAUACUUAGGGCACAGUUGAUGAAUUUCACAUGCGGAGUUCUCCAGCCCGUGGGUGCUGGAUGUCUUUGCAUUUCCCCGCGCCUCUCACGCCUUCUCCCAGCAGCGCUGUGCGCAGUCUUGCAUCUCCUCUGUUCAUUGUUUACCGUCUGUCGAGAUUGUUAACUCUUUGCAGCCGCGUUGUAGUUUGGGGGAUCCAGUUAGCCCUUGGUUUUCGCAGGAUGUGAGGCCGUGUUCUCGCAGGUUGGAAGCGGGUGCCUGGGAGACACGCUCGUGUCCGUGUCCUCAGGCGUGACCCCGCGUGUUUACCUUGACGCAUCUUCCGUAGGUGUUCUCGGCGGCUGUGCUGGGGGCGGAAAAGGAGCUGGAAGCCCUCCGAGCAGAAGCCUUUCUGCUCAGAGCCUCGAGGGGCCCGCUGGCGGGCUUUGCGAUGGGGCCGAGCUCGGCUGCACUCAGUUCUGCUCUUCCAGCGAAGAACGCUCGCUCUCCGGCUUCCCUAUUGUGCUGCCGAGAGUCUCGGUGGAGGAAGGAGGGGAAACAUGGAGAACGUGGCCUCGGUUGAGAGCUUUGCCUCGGUGGAGGGGCUGGAAGGGUGUCACCCACCCCGCUCUUCCUGACCAGUGGCCCAGAGGCUUCUGGGAUCGUGUGGUGGCACCAUGCCAUCAUCCUGUCCUCUGGGGCCUCCCAGACCGGGAGGAAGCCUCUGCUCCACGGCCCCGCAGCCCACGCGGGCUCGCCAAGGGCAGCUCACUGGGGCCCCCCCAACCAGGCUGUGGAUGCUGCCCAGCUGCCAGUCCUGCUCCCGACUGGCCACAGCAGGGGCUGUGGGACAGCUGAGGGGCCAGGGGACUCAGGUUGCCACAGCCCACCCCCCAGCAGUACUGGGCAGGGCCCUGCCCUCAAGUCCCGAGUUCCCCCAAAGCUGCCCGGGGCCACGUGUGCCAGCUUCCCAGACCUCGUGCGGGGGCUCGGCUGGAAGAGGCCGAUCACAGCUCUGUCCUGGAAGGCUGCGGAGGGUGGGGGCGGGGGGGAGCCCUGUGUGGCAGGACAAGCCCUGGGGGGGCACUGGUUCAGAGGGCGUGGUUCUGCGGCCCUGGGCCAGGCCCCAGUCAGUCCUGGUUCAGGGGCCUUGGUUGAGUCCUGGUUCAGCCCAGGUUUGGUUCUGGGUCCGUCCUGGUUCCGGAGUCCUCGUUUGGUCCUGUGUCCAUCCUGGUACAGGGGCCCUGGUCCGUCCUGGUUCAGGCCUGGUUCAGGGGCCCCGGUUCAGGAGGGGCUAAAGGUAAAGGCGGGGAGAGCCUCUGGGGGCUUCCCAACAAGCAGGCAGCCUCAGGCUGGCUCUGUCCCCAUGGCCCCACAAAGACUGUGUGGCCCCCUGAGUUGUCCCGUGUUGGGUGGAGACCUCUGGAGGGGGAGGGGGAAUAGUGCCCGUCCUCCCCCCCGCAGAGUCACCCACAAGAAUCCCGUGCUUCGUGCUGCAGGGGGAGGCCCUCGUGGCGGCGACUCAGGCCCAGGGCUUUUGGGACCUGGGGUUUAGUGGCUGUCAAGGGAAGAGCUGUGUACCCUGCGUUCCCCUCUGAUGGCGUUAUUGCUAGGAUUUAUGUUGGUUUUAUUGGAGCAUUUGUUUCAUCAGCGCUCAGGGCAGGGCUGCGGGAGGGCCUCAGGUCGGGGCCAGACAAGGGCAGCUCUCGGAGCUCUGGAGGGCACUUUGGGAACAGGUCCGCAGCACAGGGGGCUUCCGGAGCCUUUGUUAGUGCUGUGACCUCGUGACCUGCUCAGAGGACCUGGUGAGGAUGGAGGUGGGGUGGGGGGGUCCUGAGGGGGAGGACAGGGGUGGAGGGACAGCUGGCUGGGAGGCUUGUGGAAACCGUUGCUGAGCCCCUGUCCCGAUUUCCAGUUUCAGGGUCUGAGGUGGUGGUGGAGUUUGUCUCUAGCCUUUUUUGGGGUCUGCUGCUGGGACCCCCCCGGGAGGACCCCUGCUUCACACAGUAGAGACAGUCUGUCCUUUCCGGGGACAGCAGGCUCCUGUGACGGCCUCAUGACCCACAGGUGUCCGUGGUUUCAGGAGCAGGACUGGGGACCUGCCUUCUGGACCCACACUCUUCGUCUUGGCCCCGAAGUGGGAAGGCCGUGGGCAUUGCGCUGAGAGGGCCGGGCACCGCAUCAGUGCAGCCAGGGAGCCGUCGCUCGUGGGCUUGGCCGUGCGCCCUCCCGGCUGUGAGGACGAGGUGGAGGUGAGACCCGUGUCCUGUAGGCUCCCUCCUGGGUGGAGGGGGACGUUGCAGGGCGGGGUCAGGUGUGUCCUCGGAGCCGCGUGCUGGCUUUGGUUAGAGACCGUGGGAAGGUCUGCAAUGAGUCCCUGCCCUUCCUCUUGCUCGCUGUCUAUCUUAAGUGACCCUGGGCUGUUCUGAGGUCUGUACGUUUAAGGAUUAGGUGACAGUUCGGUUGCUGUUGCUGAAACCAGCUGCCAGGACGCAGCUCAGGUGAGUGUGCCGUCCACGGCCACAGCAGCACCUCACCGGGGGCCCCGUCUGUGACGUUUCUGGCUGUUGCAGUUGAGGGAGGGCUCCUGGCACCUGGGGGUGGAGACCAGGAGUGCCUCCCCAUCCCGAGGUGCCCAGGACGCCCGAGAAGGGGAUGUCGCUCCCUGCCCCGGGCUGCGUGGGUCUGGGUGAGAACGGAGCCAGCAGACAUGCUGGUCGUAUGUCAGAUCUGUCUUCUCCGAUCAGGGUUUGCCCGCUCCUUCCUGCGGGUCAGAGGGUGGCUGUCUCGGACGUGGCGGGCCUGGGGGCAGCAUUUGGGCCUGGGCACAGCGCCCGGACUGUGAUGCCCAUUGCACCAGCUUGACCAGCCUGCUGUCCAGGCUCCUCCCUCCCGGGACUCUGUCUCCCUGGUGGCUGCAGCCGGGGACACGAGGGCUGGACUUCCCCUGCUCCUCUGCUUCCUCUGGGUGCACAUUCACGCUCUUGGAAGGAGGAACGAGGCACCAUCAUGAGGCCACGUUGGAAGGAGAGGGAGGGGACGUGCAGGCUGGCCGCGAGGUCCUGGGAGGUGGGAGGUGGGGCGGCCUCCUGGGGGGACCUCUCCGGGCAGGGGUGGAGCUUGGGGGUGGCUCAUGCCCUUGGCAUAAUCAUCAGGAGGCACCAGGAACCAGCUGGGCCAGGGAGCAAUAGUGGUGUGAACAGGACUCCUCCAGGGGAUGCCUGAGAAGGUGGCGUGGGGUCUCCAUCAGGAGGUGGGGUGCAGGCGGUCUGUCAGGUGCUGGGGUGCAGGGUGGUCCAUCAGGUGCUGGGUGCUGGGUGGUCUCCAUUAUGUGAUAGGUGCAGGUGGUCCGUCAGGUGAUGGCUGCAGGCUGGUCUCUCAGGUGCUGGAGUCCUGGGUGGUCUAACGGAUGAUGAGUACUGGAUGGUCCGUCAGGUGCUGGGUGCUGGGUGCUGGGUGGUGUCUGUCAUGAGAUGGGGGCAACUGCUAGUCCUUGGACUUCAGGGUGACUCUUGCUUCCCGGGCUCCUCAGGCGUGCACUUACAGGCUCUGCCUCUUCCCCAGGCGGAGGUCCUGCCUGACUGUGACCUGGGCUUCUCCAGCCCCACACAGCAGACAGAGUGUGCCACCCCCUGUGUGUCAGCCGUGUGUCGCCUUUGGGCAGCAGUGUCGCACGGCGAGGGGGGCCCAGGUCACUGGACGUGCAGAGAUGCCGUCCAAGGCAGAUGGGCUGCUUGCGCUCUGGCUCUUGGAAGAGUAGGGUCUUGGGUUUUGGAGAUGUGGUGCUUUCCCAUUUAGGAGUCGAAAGCUGUGCUCAAACUCUUCUUCUCCUGCCUCAGCCACACCGGAGGCAGCCAGGGCUCCUCGCACCCCUGUGUCAACCGCUCUCGUGCGGCUGUAGGGGGACCUUUCCCGGCUGCGUUCGGGAAUCUGUUACGACCCGUGACGCUCGCCAAGUCCAGGCGUACGGCUGUCCAUGCUGUCUCCUGGCUGCACGCUGCUCAGCUGGCUGCAGGUCCCAUGGGUUGUGUCCGGUGGGUCCGGGGCUUGUUUCUGGCCUUGGGCUGUGAGCGGCCCUGUGAGUACCCCUGGGGAGGUGCGUCGCCAGCUGUCCUAGGGAUGGAACUAAAGAGCCAUCGCGGUGUUCAUGGCGAAUGUACAUGUCACUUUUUAAGGAACCGUCAGGCUGUCUUCCCGAGGGCUGCACACGUCCCCUGCCUCCCAGCAAGGCACAGGUGCAGCAGCGCCAGCAUUCUCGCCAGCCCUCAGCAUCGCCAGGCAUUGGACCUGCCCCCUUUUGGAGUGUGGGCCGCUGGUGGCACCUCUGGCUUUAUCUGCAUUUCCUGCAUCAGUGAGGUUGAGUGUACAGGGAUCCAUCUGAGCCGCAGCUGCAGCAGGUGCUGGAUCCUUAAGCUGCUGCGCCACAGCAAGAACGCCUCGCUGUGUUGCUGAAGGCUGUUCAGACCCUCUGUUGUGUUCCCAGGGGGUGGUUAGUUUUCUUAUCGAGGAGUAAUUUCUGUACGUUUUCUGGAUAUAACUCCGUCAAUAGGUAGAGGAUUUGCAGAAUGCCUUCCUGGUGAAUGACUUUGCCUAUGAUCUACUUUUUUCUUCCAGUUUUACGGUGAUGUAAUUGACACACAGCACUUUAUCCGUUUAAGCUGUUUCGCAUAAUGAACUGACCUACAUACAUCAUGAAAUGAUUCUCACCAGAAGUUCCGUGAACAUUCAUCUCAUACAGAUAGAACUUUAAAGAAAUUUUAAAAAUGGGAGUUCCCUCCAUGGUGCAGUGGGUUAAGAAUCUGACUGCACCGGCUUGGGUCACUGUGGAAGCACGGGUUUGAUUCCCAGCCCAGUGCAGAGGGCUGAAGGAUCCGGCAUUGCUGCAGCCAUGGCAUAGGUUGCAGCUGCAGUUCGGAUUCAGUCCCUAGCUCGGAAACUUCCACAUGCUUCUGGUGCAACCAUGAAAAGUAAGUAAAUAAAAAAUAAGAAAUAUAGGAGUUCCGGUUGUGGCUUAGUGCGGUAAAAACCCAACUAGUAUCCGUGAAGACGCAGGUUUGAUCCCUGGCUUCGCUCAGUAGGUUAAGGAUCUGGCGUUGCUGUGAGCUGUGGUGUAGGUGGUAGUUGAGGUUGUGCCUGGGUCGUAGGCUGGCAGCUGUAGCUCUGAUUCGACUCCUAGCCUGGGAACUUCCAUGUGCCGCGGGUGCAGCCCUAAAAAGACAAAAUAAAUCAGUAAAUGUUAAAAGGAAUUUUUCCCCCUUGGGAUGGGACCUCACCAUUCACGCACCGAGCUUUCAUAUGAAAUGUACAUCUGAGCUCGUUAGGUUUCCGUCUACACCACAGCCCUCAUACCGUUUAUCUCGUGGGGAGACAUUUGCAUCACUGUCUUCUGAUGCUCCCACCCCCCACGUCCUCUGAUGGCUGCAAAUCUGGUCUCUCUCGCUGUGAGUUUGUUUGGUUCAGACGUGCAGUGGGCCUCCAGAACUGCUAGUCCCUGGAGCAAUUCGAUCUUGCUUUGCACUUCAGGGAGUCUGGUUGUGACCCGUCCCCACACAGGACCUCACGUGAUAACAGGCUGUAUUCUCCACUCUGGACAUUCCGCCCCCCUCCUCCACUCCGACUCAUUUCUUUCACAGCCGGGGGUGUCUCUCUCUCUCAAUGUCCCUCACCUUGUCCUGUAUUCUCACAGUGUCUUCUGGAAAAGAGAGGCUUAUGGUUUGGAUGAAGUCCCCGUUGUCACUUAUUUUCUUUAUAUCCGCUUGUGUGUGAUCUGGAAUCUAAACAGUAGGGUCAAACCCCAGGGCGGGAGUCCCCGUCGUGGCGCAGUGGAAACGAAUCCGACUGGGAACCAUGAGGAUGCAGGUUCCAUCCCUGGCCUCGCUCCGGGGGUUAAGGAUCCGGCGUUGCCAUGAGCGGUGGUGUAGGUCGCAGAUGCAGCUCGGAUCCUGUGUUGCUGUGGCUCUGGUGUAGGCGGCAGCUGCAUCCCCGAUUAGACCCCUGGCCUGGGAACCUCCGUAUGCUGCGGGUGCGGCCCUA